rnacentral:rRNA from 1 species
UACGUAGGGGGCAAGCGUUGUCCGGAAUCAUUGGGCGUAAAGAGCGUGUAGGCGGUUCGAUAAGUCUGCUGUGAAAGUCCAAGGCUCAACCUUGGGAUGCCGGUGGAUACUGUCGAACUCGAGUCCGGAAGAGGAGUGUGGAAUUCCUGGUGUAGCAGUGAAAUGCGCAGAUAUCAGGAGGAACACCGAUGGCGAAGGCAGCACUCUGGGACGUGACUGACGCUGAGACGCGAAAGCUAGGGGAGCAAACGGG